rnacentral:rRNA from 1 species
GGAGUUAGCCGGUGCUUCUUCUGCGAGUAACGUCACAGAUGUAAGGUAUUAACUUACACCCUUUCCUCCUCGCUGAAAGUGCUUUACAACCCGAAGGCCUUCUUCACACACGCGGCAUGGCUGCAUCAGGGUUUCCCCCAUUGUGCAAUAUUCCCCCACUGCUGCCUCCCGUAGGAGUCUGGGCCGUGUCUCAGUCCCAGUGUGGCUGAUCAUCCUCUCAGACCAGCUAGGGAUCGUCGCCUAGGUGAGCCUUUACCUCACCCUACUAGCUAAUCCCACCUGGGCUUAUCCAUCAGCGCAAGGCCCGAAAGGUCCCCUGCUUUACCCCCGUAGGGCGUAUGCGGUAUUAGCAGUCGUUUCCAACUGUUAUCCCCCACAAAUGGGCAAAUUCCCAGGCAUUACUCACCCGUCCGCCGCUCGUCAUCUUCAAAAGCAAGCUUUUGAAAUGUUACCGCUCGACUUGCAUGUGUUAGGCCUGCCGCCAGCGUUCAAUCUAAGCCAGGAUCAAACUCUGA